rnacentral:rRNA from 1 species
AUUGAACGCUGGCGGCAGGCUUAACACAUGCAAGUCGAGCGGGGAGAUGUAGCUUGCUACAUUUCCUAGCGGCGGACGGGUGAGUAAUGCUUAGGAAUCUGCCUAUUAGUGGGGGACAACGUUUCGAAAGGAACGCUAAUACCGCAUACGCCCUACGGGGGAAAGCAGGGGAUCUUCGGACCUUGCGCUAAUAGAUGAGCCUAAGCCAGAUUAGCUAGUUGGUGGGGUAAAGGCCUACCAAGGCGACGAUCUGUAGCGGGUCUGAGAGGAUGAUCCGCCACACUGGGACUGAGACACGGCCCAGACUCCUACGGGAGGCAGCAGUGGGGAAUAUUGGACAAUGGGGGGAACCCUGAUCCAGCCAUGCCGCGUGUAUGAAGAAGGCCUUUUGGUUGUAAAGCACUUUAAGCGGGGAGGAGGCUCUUCUAGUUAAUACCUAGGAUGAGUGGACGUUACCCGCAGAAUAAGCACCGGCUAACUCUGUGCCAGCAGCCGCAGUAA